rnacentral:rRNA from 1 species
AACGAACGCUGGCGGCAGGCCUAACACAUGCAAGUCGAACGCCCGUAGCAAUACGGGAGUGGCAGACGGGUGAGUAACGCGUGGGAACGUGCCCUUCGGUUCGGAAUAACUCAGGGAAACUUGAGCUAAUACCGGAUACGUCCGUAAGGAGAAAGAUUUAUCGCCGAAGGAUCGGCCCGCGUCGGAUUAGCUAGUUGGUGAGGUAAUGGCUCACCAAGGCGACGAUCCGUAGCUGGU